ACGGUCGAACAUUGUAAUCGAUAGGUAGACUAAGUAUUGUAAGAGAAAUCUAGUAUUUGUUAAUUUAUCCGAUCUCGUAUGGAUUUCUUGGCCCUUGAAGUGCGGGCCUACUAAUAUCGGUUUAAUGGAUGCCGCCAUAAAUUGUGCUUCUCAUUGUCUUGUGAAUCGUAGGAGGGCACACUGCGAAUAAAACGAUCGCCCCGAUCGCACCAAUCGAGCGCCACCAGGCGCACGCCGCCCUUAAAGUUCACCC